CUAUAAAGUUAAACAACUUCUUCUCCUCUGUCUCCUGUUUAUUAUCAUUAUUUUAUUAUUAUUAAAAAAGGAAGUCUCUCAGAAACCAAGCUGUAUAUCCUCUAGUCUCUAUGUAAAAAAACAAAUUGGUCAUUUUCUACUUGGACAUCCCAGAAUAGAAAGUACAUUGAAGUACUAAAAAAUAAAGGGAUAGACUUGGGGUUAAGGGAGAUGUCAUAGAACAGCUAUCCUGGGUUAGUUCAAGUGUAGUCCUAUUCCAUGCUAGGCAAAGUCAAGGUUACAAAAAUCCCAGUUGCAUCAGGUUUCCAUUUUUUAUCAUUAUUUCCCUAUACAACGAUACAAGUUAAAAAAAAGUCGGUAAAUACUUUUGGCCAUCAAUUUUCAAGAUUUCAUUGGUGAUAUUAAGGAAAUGCUGUAAGUAGGUAACACAUAAUGUCAUAUUUGUGUGCUGUAGAAGUAUCUUGGAAAAUAUGGACUUUAAAACCUCAAAAUAUGGGUUUGCAAUCGAACAUACAUUCACCCCCAAAUUUGACCUUUUUCAGCUAGUUAUUUUCUCAUAUAAAGUUACUAUACUUACACCAUUAUCUUUAAUCCCUGAAAUUUCAAUUAUACUAGAAAUCAAGAUUCUUCAUUUUUACUCACGAAACUGACACUAAGUAUAUACCUCAUUAAGGACAAGAAGCUAUGAAUUCUCUGGACUUCAGUUAUCUCACAGAAAAGAGCUUGAUUGAAUAAUGUCUAAGGCUCUUCCUGACAUAGUCUAAAUAACAGAAGGUGUCUCACAAGAAAUGGAAGCAGUGAGAGAAAAAUGCAAUUAAAUCCUAGACUAGAAAGAAUCACAAUUUUCCCACUCACAGGUUGGAAAUGCCUCUCUAUUCUAUCACAAUUUUGAAAACCUCCAUAGUUUUACUAGCUUUGCCUUUCUCCCUUGCUAUCAUCUUCUGAGGUACAGACAGUCCUUUCCAUUUUUAUUCCUCUCCCACUCUGAUAAUUUUUUUCUUUGACAGAAGUCCCACUUUAUCAUUAAUGAUGACAAUAACUAAGGCUGCCAGGAACAGCACAUCUGCUGAGCUUUAUCAACACCAGAUUCUCUCAUUUUGCCUUCUGGAUCUCCAUGCUUUUUUAUACCAACAAACAAGAGGAAGAAUAUUCUCUACCCACUUCCUUGACUGAAGCCUGCUCUUUUAUGAAGACAUGGCAUCUCUUCCAACCGUGUCAAACAGAUGCAAUUUAUAUGUCUGCUGCUUCCAUACCCUGAUUAAAUGGGUCAGUGGCAGAAUCAAGCAUUUGUUUGCCAGUAAGCCAGGUGCCAUGUUGUCAUACAGCCCUAAAUAGAGAAGUCCAUGUGAGUUUGGCCUUCUGAGGCCUGUCAAAAGACACAUGAGUGAGCUCAGAAGUGGAAGCUUCCUCAUUCAAGUCUUGAGAGGACUGCAGCCCAGCCAACAUCCUGGUUGCCACUACAUGACAGGCUUGAGCCAGAAUCAAGCAGCUAAGCUGCUUCUGGAUUCCUGACCUACAGACACUAUAAAUCAGGAAUGUUUGGCUUCCAACUGCUAAAUUUGGGGAUAAUUUGUUAUGCAAAUAUAGGUAACUAAUGUAUAUCCCAUGGAUUCCACGCCCAUUGUUAUAAUAAUUUACUUACAACAGUCUUCAGCUAUUUAACAUUUUUCUGGCUGGAUCACCACGUUUACUGUGAUGAACAACUGCCCUUCCUGAUCCAGGACCCAUGCAGCAGAGCAUUACUGAAGAAAUUCACACCCUCAGGCAGUUAGAUGUCCCUGUAAAGUUAUAGUCACCAGGUUCUCAUGAUCUCACCACACAGACUGUUACUUAUAAGCUCCCUCUCUUAUUACACCCUAUGAAUAUUUUGUAACUUUUCUCUGAUUAUUAAAAAUGCUUCUCCUCAACUCUUGAAUGAUAAGUGAUAACCUUUUUUCAUUCAUUAUUUAUAAAACAGAUGUGAUUAGAUGGAAAAUAUCUUAUAUUCAUUAAACUGAUUGUACCUUCA
rnacentral:lncRNA from 1 species